GGAAAUUUCAAACAAAAAUGAAAAGCUAAAGAAAGGGUAGAGUUGCCGACGAAAUUCAUACACAGGCCAACAAAAUUUGCCUUCUGCCAUACCCUUUCUCGCCAUUGACGCACCUAUUAACAAAAUACUACAGGAUGACAUAGGAGAUGGUGUUUGAGGCUCGGGUGCCAUAGUUGUAGCUUGAGAAAGAUGAGGAGAGCCAAAAUUGCAGCAACCGCAGCUAUGACAAAGAGUCCCCAGAAGCUAGCUAGGCCAAGACUGUUGGAGGAAAGUGAAGUGCUAGAAUCUGAACAAGUACUAGCGGAGAUCCCAUUGGGAAGACCUAGAUGAAAAUCACAAGAAUGAUGAAAUCAUAAUAUUACCGCCUUAUAUUGCCUAUG